GUACAUUUUAUGUCCCAGUCCCUCCCCAAAUUAAGAAUGAGACCUAGGUUAAAAGUCUGAGAGACUGUGGCAGUAGAGGUGAUAUUUUACUUCUACCAGUAGUGAACGGAUCGGAAGAGCACAGGUC